rnacentral:rRNA from 1 species
GUCUACGGCCAUGGCACCCGGAACAAGCCCAAUGUCUGAUCUCGGAAGCUAAGCAGGGUCGGGCCUGGUUAGUACUUGGAUGAGAGACCACCUAGGAAUACCAGGUGCUGUAGGCA